rnacentral:rRNA from 1 species
CCUACGGGAGGCAGCAGUGAGGAAUAUUGGUCAAUGGACGAGAGUCUGAACCAGCCAAGUAGCGUGAAGGAUGACUGCCCUAUGGGUUGUAAACUUCUUUUAUAUGGGAAUAAAAUGUUCCACGUGUGGGAUUUUGUAUGUACCAUAUGAAUAAGGAUCGGCUAACUCCGUGCCAGCAGCAGCGGUAAUACGGAGGAUCCGAGCGUUAUCCGGAUUUAUUGGGUUUAAAGGGAGCGUAGGUGGAUUGUUAAGUCAGUUGUGAAAGUUUGCGGCUCAACCGUAAAAUUGCAGUUGAAACUGGCAGUCUUGAGUACAGUAGAGGUGGGCGGAAUUCGUGGUGUAGCGGUGAAAUGCUUAGAUAUCACGAAGAACUCCGAUUGCGAAGGCAGUUCACUGGACUGCAACUGACACUGAGGCUCGAAAGUGUGGGUAUCAAACAGGAUUAGAUACCCGAGUAGUC